rnacentral:rRNA from 1 species
AUUGAACGCUGGCGGCAUGCUUUACACAUGCAAGUCGAACGGCAGCGCGGGCUUCGGUCUGGCGGCGAGUGGCGAACGGGUGAGUAAUGCAUCGGAACGUGCCCAGUAGUGGGGGAUAGCCCGGCGAAAGCCGGAUUAAUACCGCAUACGACCUGCGGGUGAAAGCGGGGGACCGAAAGGCCUCGCGCUAUUGGAGCGGCCGAUGUCGGAUUAGCUAGUUGGUGGGGUAAAGGCUUACCAAGGCGACGAUCCGUAGCUGGUCUGAGAGGACGACCAGCCACACUGGGAGUGAGACACGGCCCAGACUCCUACGGGAGGCAGCAGUGGGGAAUGUUGGACAAUGGGGGCAACCCUGAUCCAGCCAUGCCGCGUGCGGGAAGAAGGCCUUCGGGUUGUAAACCGCUUUUGUUCGGGAAGAAAUCCUCUGGGCUAAUACCCCGGGGGGAUGACGGUACCGGAAGAAUAAGCACCGGCUAACUACGUG